GAAGGCUCAGCAGGCAAACGGUUUCGUCUGCACGCAUUCAGGGGCGGCACUUCCAUAGGCUUCAUGUGGUGGCCGGUUUUCGUGUUUUUUCACCUUUUUCAGGGCACUGAGUCCUGAGUCGGGACCGAAGAGAAUGGAACAGGCGAGGAGAGGCGUUGGCCCCGGUGCCCAGAGGCGGCUGUGAGGCCCCCUGAGCCCGUAGUUGACGGCGGUGCCCUCGUUCCCGCCCCGCCCACCGGCUCUUCCGGCUCCGUUCUUCCCACCGGCCGGUGACCCCGAUGACCGAGGCUGCGCCGAUGAGGCCGGCUUAGCAACCACAAGGAGCAGGUUUCAGAAGAUCAUGAGUUAAAUUUUGGAUGUGUGACCCUAAGAUACCUCAAGGUGGAGACGGCACAUAGGAGCAUAUCUGGCAUGGGAGCUACUCUGGCCUGUGUCUGUAGAAAAGGAUACCUGGAUGUGAUGAAUUGCCGGCCUGGAUGGAGAUGAAGGUGUAAGGUCGUGUAGACUGAGCCCUGCAGGUCAGCUCUGCUCCUAGAGGAAAAUCCCUGUGGGACAAAGAAAUAGCCAGGUUCCCAUGGCAUUUGCAGAAAUGCUUAUGGGCCUGUACAGGUGAAUGGAGGAUGUGCCAGGCCUUCAUCCACCCCAGUUAUUACCCUGAUGGUUCUGCCACUCCCAUAUAAAGAAUGCUGGUGGCCUGAGAUUGUUCACCCAUCCUUCUCCCUUCCUUGGGUCUGAAGUCCCUGUGGUUUCACCAAGGCCUAGGGUCUUGAACUCAGUCCCAGAUUAUAUGGAGCUGUUCCCAUUUCCAACAACUGAUGGAGUAAGAUGUGGAAGGAUGUCGUGGGCACAGGAUCCAGAAUAUCCAGACGACUGGAGACGUGGCCAUACAUUUCUCUCAGGAGGAGUGGGGGCUCCUUGAUGAGGCUCAGAGAUGCCUGUACCACCAUGGGAUGCUGGAGAACUUUGCGCUUCUCUCAUGACUAGGUUGUUAGCAUUGAGCCCAGGAUGAGGAGCCAUCUUCAGAGCGAGGUGUUUCUACAGAAGUGUCACUGGCCAGGACGCCAAAGCCAGGUCCCUCCAUCUGGAAUGCCCAGCCCUGUGAGACAUGCAGCUCACUCUUGAAAGACAUUUUGUCCCUGGCUGAGCAGGAUGGAACGCACCCUGGGCAAGGACUAUACACUUGUGAGGCAAAGCUUUGCCAGCACCAAAAACGUCACAUUAGAGAGAAACUUUCCAGAAAGGACAAGGGGAGGCCUUCAUUUGUGAAAAACUGCACUGUCCACAUGACACAGAGGACCUUCACAUGCAGGGAAGGUGGGAAGGACUUCCCAGCCAGCACAGGCCCUGUCCAGCACCGGCCUCCUCAUGGUGUGGGAAAGCCACAUGGGGACAUUGCAGAUGGAGAGGCCUUUCAAAAUGGGCAAAGUGAUUACAAGUGCACUCAGUGUGGGAAAGCCUUCAGCCAUAAACAUACACUUGUCGACCAUGAGAAGAUCUACACUGGAGAAAAGUUUUAUGAGAAUAGGGAAUGUGGGAAGGCCUUUCUUAGAAAGUCCCACCACGAGCAGCAUCAGAAAGUCAACAUGAGCCUGGGCUUUAUGAGCACUCAGGAUAUGGAGUAUUCUUUACAGAAAUAUCUGGCCUCAGUGACCACCAGAGAAUUCACACAAGGCCAAGGCCUUUUGAGUGCAGCCUUCCUUAGACUGUCCCAACUCGUUGGUCACCAGAAAAUCCACACUGAAGAAAGACCUUACAGUUGUAGUGAGUGUGGAAAAUUCUUUAGGAACCGUUCCACACUCAUUAGACACCAGAGAGUUCACACUGGAGAAAGGCCUUUUGAGUGCACUGAAUGCGGGAGAGCCUUCACCUGCAAACAUAGGCUUGUUGAGUACCAGAAAAUCCACAGUGGUGAAAAGACUUUUGAGUGUAGAGCAUGUGGGAAAGCUUUCAGCCACAAAGACAAAGUUGUUGAGCACCAGAAAAUCCACACAGGAGAAAGGCCUUACGAGUGCAGCGAAUGUGGGAAAUUCUUUAUGGACAGCUCCUCACUCAUUAUUCAUUAGAGAGUUCACACCGGACAAAGACCUUAUGAGUACGGCAAAUGUGGAAAAAAUUUUUUUAAUUUAUUUAUUUAUUUUUGGCUGCGUUGGGUCUUCGUUGAUGCACGUGGGCUUUCUCUAGUUGCAGGGAGCGGGGGCUACUCUUCGUUGUGGUGUACGGGCUUCUCAUUGUGGUGUCUUCUCUUGUUGCCAAGCACGGGCUCAGUAGUUGUGGCUCGUGGGCUCUAGAGCUCAGGCUCAGUAGUUGUGGCACACAGGCUUAGUUGCUCCACAGCAUGUGGGAUCUUCCUGGACCAGGGCUCGAACCCGUGUCCCCUGCAUUGGCAGGUGGAUUUUUAACCACUGCGCCACCAGGGAAGCCCCAAAUGUGGAAAAUUAUUUAGGUACUGCUUCACCCUUGUUAGACAUCAGAGAAAUCAUACUGGAGAAAGGCCUUAUGAGUGCAUGGAUGUAGGAAAUCCUUUUGUUGCAGCUCCACACUCAUUAGACAUUGGACAAAUCCCACUGGAGAAAGGCCUUAUUAGUGCAGCUAAUGAGGGAAAUUUUUGUAGUAAAACUCCAGAGUCAGUACACACUAGCGAGUUCACGUUGAUGUGAGGCCAUAUAAGAACAGCGAAUAAGGGAACAUCUUUACAUACAACUCUGGUCUUGUUAAACACUGUUGAAUUUACACUGGAGAAAUGCCUUCUGAGUGCAGUGAAUGUUGGAAAGUAUAUAGCCAAAACUUCCAUUCAUUUGGCUCCAAAAAGUUCACACCAGAGAAAGAACUUAUGAAGGAAGCAAAUGGGGAAAGGACUUCAGCCGAAAGUCUGCUCUGAUUGGCACUGUGAAGUACAUAUUAUGUACUUCUGGGGUUUUUUUUUUCCCUUCUUAUUGUGUUAAAAUACACACACAUAAAACUUGCCAUCUUUUAAGUAUUUUAGUGUGCCGUUCAGUACUGUGAGGUACAUUCACACUGUUGUGCAACCUAAUCUCCAGAGCUCCUCUUGUUUUGCAAAAAUGAAACCCUGUACCCAUUAAAUAACAACUCCUACUCCUCUCCUUCUCCAGCCCCUGGCAACCACUGUUCUCUUCUCUGUCUCCUUGAAUUUGAGUGCCCUAGCUGCCUCAUGAAAGAAGAAUCAUACAGUUUUUGUAUUUUUGUGAAGACUUCAUUUACCAGAAUUUCACAUUUCAUGUAUCACGUGUCCUGUUUCAGAAGUUCCUUCCUUUUUAAGGCUGAGUUAUACUUCAUUGUAUGCAUAUACCACAUCUUUAUCCAUUCAUCUGGUGAUGAAGACGUCCCUUGUUUCGAUAUUUUAGCUGUUGUAAAGAGUGCAGCUGUGAGAACGACUGCACAAAUAUCUCCUUGAGAUCCUGUUUUCAGUUAUUUUCAGUGUAUAGCGAGAAGUGGAAUUCCUGGAUCAUAUGGUCAAUUUUUUUUUUUUUUUAAUUUUUGGCUGCAUUGGGUCUUCAUUGCUGCACGCGGCCUUUCUCUAGUUGUGGAGUGCGGGCUUCUCAUUGCAGUGGCUUCUCGUUGCGGAGCACCAGCUCUAGGCGCACGGGCUUCAGUAGUUGUGGCUCGCAGGCUCAGUAGUUGUGGCUCACGGGCUCUAGAGCGCAGGCUCAGUAGUUGUGGCGCACAGGCUUAGUUGCUCUGUGGCAUGUGGGAUCUUCCCGGGCCAGGGCUCGAACCCGUCUCCCCUGCAUUGGCAGGCAGAUUCUUAACCACUGCGCCACCAGGGAAGUCCCCAAUCUAUUUUAAAUAUUUUGAACUGUUUCCUUUAUUGGCUGUACCAUUUUAUGCUCCCAUCAAAGGUCCACAGAGUUCCAGUAUCUCCACAUCCUCAUCGACAUAAUUUUAUUUUCCGUUUCAUGUUUAAUAGUAGCUAUCCUAAUGGAUGUGAGGUAAUAUCUCACUGUAGAUUUGUUUAUUUUAUUUUACUUUUUCUUUUUUAUGGCUGCAUCGGGUCUUAGUUGCGGCAUGCAGGCUCUUUGUUGUGGCACAUGGGCUUCUCUAGUUGUGGCAUGCAGAAUUUCUCUUCUCUAGUUGUGGCCCGUGGGCUUCUCUCUAGGUGUGGUGUGCAGGUUUUCUGUUCUUCAGUUGUGGCCCAUGGGCUCCAGAGCGUGUGGGCUCUAUAGUUGUGCAUGCAGGCUCCAGAGCGUGUGGGCUCUGUAGUUUGCAGCAUGCAGGCUCUCUAGUAGAGGAGCGCGAGCUCAGUAGUUGUGGUGCGUGGGCUUAGUUGCCCUGUGGCAUGUGGGAUCUUAGUUCCCCAACUAGGGAUCGAACCCGCAUCCCCUGCAUUGCAAGGUGGAUUCUUUACCACUGGACCACCAGGGAAGUCCCCUCACUGUAGUUUUGUUUAGCAUUUCCCUAAUGAUUAAUGAUCAUGUCUUCUUGGCCAUUUGUGUAUAUUCUUUGUAAAAAUCUCUAUGUUUACCCCUUUAAAAUUUUUCUUAUUGGUGAGUUGUAGCAGUUCUUUAUAUAAUCUGGAUACUGACCACUUAUCAAAUAUAUGAUUUGCAAAUGCUUUUCUUCCAUUCAGUAGCUUGCCGUUUCACUCUGUUGAUUGUGUCCUUUGCACAGACGUUUGUACCUUUAUCUAUUUUUGCUUUUGUUUCCUAUGCUUUUCAU